CCUUCUGGGAAAUGUAGUUUCUUUUUCCAUCGUGGGCUACUAAACAGGGAGCACCUGGACAACAAGCCCCAAAAUGCGCCGCGAAGCGCUGGUCUGAUAGUAAACAAGAGUCAUAGGGACACGUGUAUCUGCCCCUCUGGCUAACUUUACCCAGGAGACUUAGCUCCAGCCCUGGCAGAGAGAGGCAGUGGCUUCUCUUCAGCUCAGUGGGCACCUCGGUCUAGCACAGCCAACCAGAGUGCUGCUCACUGCCUCCAAGACUGGGGGGAGAAAAGGGGUUCAUGGGAGGCAGGCACAUGCUGCCUUUUCUUAUGGUGCCAAAUGGGAUGGGAGGGCCCUUGUGGAAAAAGUUGAGCACAGAGGCUCUAAAGACCCUGUCUCGGCUAUCAAAGAGAGGAGAGAACUAACUGCCAAUGGAGUUGGAAUCCACAAAGGGACUGCAGUGUUGCAACUCAUUGCGUAACUUUCAAUGUGUAAAACAAAAGUCACAGGAACACUACAGAAAUCCCUAAAGCCUGAAUUAGGCAUGUAGGUUUCUUGUACAAUAUGGGAGGAAAGAUAGAUCUAAGAGAGCCAUUUUAAGCUAGCUACUGGGAGAUGCGCAUGAGAACAUUGUGUUCUAAGCUCUAUCCCUCUCAUAGCCCUGGUCUACUGUGUGUGUGUCGGGGAGGGGGGCGUCGACCUAAGAGGCCAACUUCAGCUACGCGAGUUGUGUAUAUCUUAGGUCGACUUACCGUGAGGACGGUGGAGAGUCGACCGCUGCCGCUCCCCCAUCAACUGCUUCCGUUCGGGGAAUGAUUUAUCGCAUCUAGACAAGAUGCGAUAAAUAGAUCCCAAAUAGGUCGAUCACUUCCUGCCGAUCCGGCGGGUAGUAAAGACCUGCCCUAUAGACAGGUGCCUGUCUCUGCUUAAUGAGCCACAAAUGAGAACCCAGUGCCUGAACUCGUGGUUUAGGCAUCUAAGGUGUUGCUUGCAAAAAUGAUCUAGGUGGCUGCCUCACUAUACAUAAAAGGGAAAAGAGAUGGUGGCUUACAUACCUUUGUGACUUUGGGCCUAGAAGUAGGCAGGCCACUCAUGCAAUUUUAACCAGACCUGCUUUUGUAAUGUUUGUCCCCAUCCAGUACUGAGACAAAACAGGGUGUGUGUGGUUUUGUCUGGUAUCAGAAGAGGGAUGCCAUAAUGGAGAGUGCACCACUCUACCCCUGUAGACGUGACCUUGCGCAUACUGUGUAUGUGAGGUAACGCCAGCAGGGACUGGGCAGAGUGCUGUUCAAUAUGGCACCCCCAUUUUGACCUCACACGCACUGUGUGUGCAAAGUCACGCCCCAGUAGGGGCAGGCCCAUGCCAUUCCUGGAAUGUUCAGUAUCCUGGAAAUGUGCUAGUGGGCACCCUAUCUAUAAGCCCAGGAAAUCAGCCAUAAAAAGUGAUAGGCCUAGGGGCAGGGCUUUAGAUGAAUCCCAAAAAGCACAUUGCAGGAGGCUGAGUUCAAGUUAGCACAGAACAAUUGAAUACCAGGAUUUAACUAUCUUCUCCAUCAUCUGUAUCAUUGGAGAACUCAAGGUGAUAAGCAGCACACAUGCACACUUCCUUAAUCUUACUGAAUUUUAAAAAGCUUAUCCUUUGCUCCUGUGGAUUUAGUUACUCCAAAUCAUGUUUGCUGUCAUCAUCUUCUGUUCACAAAACUAAUUAUCUGGUAAGGUUCAGGUGCUUUUGCACAUUUUGUAAUAGCCUGCACUGGGGAUCGGGCUUUGUCCAGUCUUGGAGUGAACAACUGCUUUUCCCUUCUUUCCCAACGGGAGCUUUUUCACUACCAAGCUGAUGUUGCACUGAGUCAUAGCAUAAGACUGGAAGUGACGAUUUUGCUUUUGCUUGGUUUCUGACUUUAAUAAUACUCUGUACUUUCCUACCACCUUUCAACUUAAAAUCUCAAAAUGAUUUACCAGCUUUAAUUAAUGUUCAAAAAACUCCUGUGAAGAAGGUAUCCCCAUUUUACAGCUGUGGAAACUGAGGCAUAAAGAGGUUAAGUAAUUGUCAAAGGUCAAACAAUGAGUCAGUGGCAGUACUAACACUAGACCACAGCUCUCCUGACUCCCAGUCCAGUGCUUUAAUUAUCAGACAACACUCUGGUUGCAUUUAAACUGGUAGUGGUAAUUGAGCCUCAAAAUGUAGUCUGGGGGAAAACACAAAAUAUCCCUUUCUAGGUUCCUAUGCAGUGCCCAUCUAUAUCAGAGGGCCUCACAUAUAUUACUGAGCUUAUCCUCACUGUACACCCAUUUGAUUAGGAAGCAUCCCCAUUUACUGACAGGGAAUUGAGGCAUAGAGAUUAAGUGAGUUGCCUAUUGUCACCCAGGAAAUCUCUGGCACAGGUGGGAACAGAACCCAGAUCUCCUGAGGUCGAGUGCUGUUUCCUAUUUACCAGAUCUUCACCUUAAAAAUUCUAAUACUAACAGAAACGUUUUCAUAAUUUAAAAAUAAUCAUCAGUAUCUUAAUAAGGAUAUGAAAACUUCAAUAACAAAUAGCUCAGAGAUUGUGUGGGGUGGAUUGAAAUCGGGAAAAAAAAAAUCCAUUCUUCCUUUUUCAUUCCCAACCAACUCUCAUCUUAGCUUUGGAGUUUUACAAUUUGAUAACAUACUAUCUGAAAGAAACUAAUAAGGGAAUGCACACAAAUAAAUUUAAAUAAAGAGAAAAAAAUAUAUUCCCCAUAAGAUAGGAAUUUCUCAGGCAUAGCCUAUGAUGCAUUACCUUAACAUAUACAUACACAAAGUGCUGUGUGAGAAAAUGAGCAAGAACUAGAUAAAGAUUAUUGCAGUUAAAAGAAAAGUGGUUCCACUUCUUAAUAAUGGCCACCAGAAAAGAGUACUGUUUUCUGGCUGUUAAUAAAUGAAUGCAUAGUGUAGUGCAAUUAAUAUGAACAAACUUUCACAGGGACUACAAUAUAAUUUACUAAGCAUCAGGGUACACCUUAUCCCAUUUUUACUUAUUGAGCAUCAAGACACAGGACUGCAGGAAGCAGAUGCCUGAUUUUAUUGUAAUUGUAAAGCAAUGAAAUCUUGAUAUUUGUCUUCUAUGGGAAGUGAUAGCUUGUCCAUUAGUAAGAUAAGAUGGGUUAUUUCAAUCCAGAUGGAUUUAUUUGAAGGUAUUUCACUUUCAGGAACAUGCAAUAUCUUCUGGGGGUGAGAAUGGGUAAUUAUAAAAGUCUUUAUACGAGUUCAUCAGACUAAUAUGACAAAAACAACGGAGUAGAAAAGCUGAUGUCUUAGAAUCUAAUUCAAAAUACCUGUGCUUAACUAUGUAGCAAAAAUAAUUAACCUUUUACAGGCAUUUCCUCAGUUUGAAAAGCUGGCAUUAUUAAAAAGAAUACGUGUUUAAUCAAAGUAAAUGUUGAGACUCAACUCCAAAGACACUGAACAAUGAAAUAUAAUAUUAAAUGUUUAAUAUUACAAUAAACAAACAGAGAUCUUUUUUCUCAAUAUUCUGAAUAUUAAGAGUUUAAAAUUUUUCUUAAGUAUUUAUACACUUUUGCAUAGGAAAGGUUUUAUAGAAGCAUUACUCAAGAAAAUUUUUCCAUUUUGUUGAUAAAUUAAAUGUUCUUACAUGAAUUUUUGAAUUCCUGUAAGUGCUGAAAGAGUAGACACUACCAGUACGCAUUAAUUGUGUGUUUUGGACUGUUCUAAAGGAACCAUUUUAAAAAAUUGAGACAUUAAAGAUGACUUUCAGAUUAAUAUUCCUGUUACCAGCACACAUUAUUACAUUUCUAUUUUCAAUUGGAGCAAAGGGAGAAAAUCCAUUCAAAAUAGCAUCUCUCAUCACAUUAUCCCACAUUGCAAAUCAGCAGAUGUAUUUCUAAUGUGUACCUGUCUUGUCUUGUAAUGUCAACCAAAAUUUUAUGAAGAGCUGAGCAAUUAAGUGCAAGCUGCUUAAUACUUGGUCAAUUGACUGCUUUAAGAUAUUUUAUGUCAGCUGGCUAAGGAGUGAAACGAUGAUGAUUUUCACAAAUCCUGGCUUGUCUAAAUAUAUAAUUUUGCACUGUGCUCUUUUGGAAGUAGCUGGUGAAUCAUGUUGCUAGAACAAACAAGAUCAGUUUCUUUAAGAAACUGGUCCUUCAUUUGUCAAUUCCAUCAGGUCCUUUUUUUUGGACCAGGAAGUAUUAGACAAAAUCAUCAUGUAUGGGGGAAGACCAUCUGUUGAAAAAAGUCUAGAUCUGCUUCCCUUUAUUUCAAAGACUUCUGUAGUAUUCCAAAGAGAAAACUGUUCCCCCUCUCCUGGAAUUUGCCCUACACAGUUUUGUAUCAAUUUUAAUAUUCCCUUUGUUAUUAGAGUCUAGACACUCAGCCAGUUUCUUCAAAUUUAGAAAAACUUAAAUACAACUUAUUUCUCAGCCAUAAACUCUCUACAAUAUAGAUGCUUCAGGUUUUUUCCCUUUGAAGGGAUCCAUUUACUGACUGCAGACUGACACUAGCCAUUUCCUCCUAAUCUCCUAGCCCUACAAAGUAUUUUUUAAUAGUGAAUUCAGUGAAACACUCCAAAGGCACUGGAGUGACCACCUGGAAGACUGAAGUUCACUAUGCUUAGAGGAGGGAUCUGGCAACCUUGUUGAAAUUCUUCUGGUUCUGUCUUGAUAGAACUACUGCAACUUGUCAUUAUGUGAACUAGCUUUCCACAUGGAGCAAUAAACAUCAGACAAUUCAUUCUGCCAAAAAGGUGCUACAAUUAUGUUUUUCACCCAUCCAGGGCUGCUGUGAGGUCACAACAGAGCAGCCUCUCCCAGGCAGGAGCAGACCAGCUGUGGAUAGGGAAGAGAAAGAGGCUGCCUUCCUCACAGUGCCCUGCCUGUUGGGCCAGAAAGGAAGGAGAAGAUAGCUCAAGAUGGCCACCUAUCAGUUGCCACUUCAGAGUUGUUUGGGACAACCCCAGAACUAUUGGCUAUAACAACUCCGGCUCAGUCUCCUACCAGACAGCUUAAAUGUUUUGACCAGUUAAAGACAAAAGCCCACCAACACUUGAAUAAGCCUAAUUUAAAACAAAGAAGAUGGAUUUACAAGCACACUCUCAUGGAGUUACGGGGAGAAGCAGACUGAAAAAGACAGUCAGACACAGGUAUCCAUGGGGAGUGUCUCAAGAAGAUAGGCCUCCCUAGGUUGUCAUUAUGGGAAGGGAGAACGUUAUGUAGGACAGAUAUGUUCAGGCAGUUUGUUGUUUUAAAAUAAUUUGUUCUUUAAUGCUUUGUUCAAACUACUUAAUAAAAUACUCUGAUUUAAGAAGGCUGUUGAUCAUUAUAUCACUGGUUACAGGUUCCUGAAAGGAAGAAAUGCAGGUGCUUCAAAAUCCAAUUCAGACACUCGGGGACACAAGCAGUUGGUAUUGUGGCAAAGUCAGGCUGGAUGGCUGCAAGGGGGUCCUGGAAGGCCAAUAU